AUCCAGCCACCAUCCCCACGCCCCCACUCCCUCUCCCAUCCAUCCACCCACCAUCGCCGGCGCCGGCCCGCCGCCGCGCCGCCCCCGCUCCGGGAACCGGCCGCCGCUUCCCUCCCAGUCCGCGCCGCCGCUGCCGUUUCCCUCCCCGGACUGCGCCGCCGCUGCCGUCACCCUCCACGGAUCAUGCCACCGCCGCCUCCCUCCCCUGAUCGCACCGCCACCGUCCGCCGCUAGCUACCGCUGCCUGUGCAGUCCUUUGCUAGCUGCCGCUGCAGUCCACCGCUAGCUCUUGCGGGGGAGGCGGUGCUGCUCCGGCUACCCAUGCGUCACUGGCUGCCGCCGCGAACGGCGUCCGGACGCCAUCACGUACUGCCCCCCGGUGCCGCCUCCAGCGCGUACCCGUUACAGCCUUGGGAAAAACCUCCUCCACGUGGGCGACUGGCCGCUCAAACUUCCCCUCGCCGGCCAUCGUGGGCCUCUGUAUCCUGUCAUGGCGGCUCCUCCCCUGUGGCACAAGCAGGUCAACUGCGGCUGGAUGAGACUCGAAAAAUGGUG
rnacentral:rRNA from 1 species